GACGAACGCUGGCGGCGUGCUUAACACAUGCAAGUCGAGCGGUAAGGCCCUUUCGGGGGUACACGAGCGGCGAACGGGUGAGUAACACGUGGGUGACCUGCCCUCAGCUCUGGGAUAAGCCUGGGAAACCGGGUCUAAUACUGGAUAUGACUCCAUGACGCAUGUUGUGGGGUGGAAAGCCUUGUGCGGCUGAGGAUGGGCCCGCGGCCUAUCAGCUUGUUGGUGGGGUGANGGCCUACCAAGGCGACGACGGGUAGCCGGCCUGAGAGGGCGACCGGCCACACUGGGACUGAGACACGGGCCCAGACUCCUACGGGAGGCAGCAGUGGGGAAUAUUGGACAAUGGGCGAAAGCCUGAUCCAGCCAUGCCGCGUGAGUGAAGAAGGCCUUAGGGUUGUAAAGCUCUUUCAGC
rnacentral:rRNA from 1 species